rnacentral:rRNA from 1 species
UACGGAGGGUGCAAGCGUUAUCCGGAUUCACUGGGUUUAAAGGGUGCGUAGGCGGAUUAGAAAGUCCGUUGUGAAAUCUCUGAGCUUAACUCGGAAAUUGCGGUGGAUACUAUUAGUCUUGAAUACUGUGGAGGUUAGCGGAAUAUGUCAUGUAGCGGUGAAAUGCGUAGAUAUCGAUCGGAACACCCGUGGCGAAGGCGGCUUGCUGGCUCGCAACUGACGCUGAGGCGCGAAAGCGUGGGGAGCAAGCAGG